GGCUCUGUGGUGGCUUAAUGGUUAAAGCUUUGGGCUGAUGACUGGAAUGGUCAUGAGUUCAAAUCCCUACAAUGCCA